GUGGGGAAUAUUGGGCAAUGGGGGAAACCCUGACCCAGCAACGCCGCGUGAAGGAAGAAGGUCUUCGGAUCGUAAACUUCUAUCCUUGGUGAAAAUAAUGAUGGUAGCCAAGAAGGAAGCCCCGGCUAACUACGUGCCAGCAGCCGCGGUAAUACGUAGGGGGCAAGCGUUGUCCGGAAUGAUUGGGCGUAAAGGGCGCGUAGGCGGCCUGGUAAGUCUGGAGUGAAAGUCCUGCUUUUAAGGUGGGAAUUGCUUUGGAUACUGUCGGGCUUGAGUGCAGGAGAGGUAAGCGGAAUUCCCGGUGUAGCGGUGAAAUGCGUAGAGAUCGGGAGGAACACCAGUGGCGAAGGCGGCUUACUGGACUGUAACUGACGCUGAGGCGCGAAAGUGUGGGGAGCGAACAGGAUUAGAUACCCCUGUAGUCC
rnacentral:rRNA from 1 species